ACUCCUACGGGAGGCAGCAGUGGGGAAUCUUGCGCAAUGGGCGAAAGCCUGACGCAGCCAUGCCGCGUGGAUGAUGAAGGUCUUAGGAUUGUAAAAUCCUUUCACCGGGGACGAUAAUGACGGUACCCGGAGAAGAAGCCCCGGCUAACUUCGUGCCAGCAGCCGCGGUAAUACGAAGGGGGCUAGCGUUGCUCGGAAUUACUGGGGCGUAAAGGGCGCGUAGGCGGACAGUUAAGUUGGGGGUGAAAGCCCGGGGGCUCAACCUCGGAAAUGCCUUCAAUACUGGCUGUCUUGAGUACGGGAGAGGUGAGUGGAACUCCGAGUGUAGAGGUGAAAUUCGUAGAUAUUCGGAAGAACACCAGUGGCGAAGGCGACUCACUGGCCCGUUACUGACGCUGAGGCGCGAAAGCGUGGGGAGCAAACAGGAUUAGAUACCCUGGUAGGAUAGCG
rnacentral:rRNA from 1 species